AUGGCCACCCUCAGACCCCUUGUGAAGCCCAGGAUCAUCAAAAAGAGAACUAAGAAGUUCUUCCGGCACCAGACUGACUGAUAUGUCAAAAUUAAGUGUAACUGGCAGAAACCCAGAGGUAUUGACAACAGGGUUCGUAGAAGGUUCAAGGACCAAUCUUGAUGCCCAACAUUGGUUGUGGGAGCGACAAAAAAAACAAAGCACAUGCUGCCUACUGACUUCUGGAAGUUCCUGGUCCACAACAUCAAGGAGCUGGAAGUGCUGCUGAUGUGCAACAGAUCUUACUGUGCUGAGAUGUUUCCUCCAAGAACUGCAAAGCCAUCGUGGAAAGAGCUGCCCAGCUGUCCAUCGGAGUCACACCAACCCCAACGCCAGGCUGCGCAGUGAAGAAAAUGAAUAG
rnacentral:lncRNA from 1 species